GCUGUAUUUACUGAACAUAUUACACAGUUAAGAUAUUGGUUUACAAAGAUAACAGAUGCUGAAGUUGCAACUGAUCCCACAAAAUUCAGAAAAAGAUUCUGAUUCUUUUGCAGAUUGUAGCUUUUAUUUGAGUAGCAGUAAAGACUGGGUUUAUUUCAAACACUAAUUUUGUUAAAAAGAAAUGCAAGAUAGGAAUGCAUAUUAAACUUAUUAAACUAAUACCUCAAUAACUUUUGAGGAUAUUGCCUUAUAGAACUGUAUCACCUGAAAUGUUCCUGUCUCUGAGACAUCAAAUUAGACGUGUUUUGGUGCACAGUGCUCGUGGUACUAGUGUAUGUAUGUGGUACCACAGAUUUAUGAUAUGCCAGAAUAAAGGUAAAGCUGCUUAAAACCGCAUUAAUCAUCUAGUUAUGCACACAGCAAUGCAUAUCCCCUGUGGGAGAUAUGUAUAAUAUCUUUGUGUAAUAUAGGACACUCAUGUUUUGCAGACUUCAGACCAUCAGAGAAAUGCUAGAACUGGAAUUCUACAAUGAAAUAUUCCCAAAGAGACGAGAACUUCCAAACCUGGUUUUUUACUUGUAUGAAGAAGUGCUCAUGGGCCCAGAAGGCAGAAGUACUCAUUUAAUUGCUAAAUUCAGGUUUAUAUGUGGAACAGAGGAGUAGACUUGAAAUCAAAACUCUGGAUCCAGACACUGCUGGUAGGGAAAUUCAGACCUUUUGCAGAUAUAGCUACAUGCAUACAACACAUUCUCUCAUGAAUUUAUGCUCAGAUUAUAGGUAUUUACUUGAAGCUUCAAUUACUGGACUAUUGCACUCUCAUUUCCUGUAAGAGUUAGACACUGUCAGACUUUGAAAUGAAACUGUUUCAUGGAAGAUUUAUUACAUUUCUUAUCCUGUGCAUGCCCACUGACAUCAAGCAAUUCUGAGUGUCAGACAGUAGGACUCAGAGUUCUGCUUAAAAACUGUGGGCAAUUUAGUUCCACAGUUGAUCCCAUCUAAAGCAAACCAUGGCAUUAUAACAAAUGAAACAACAACAAAAACAACAACAAAAAACAGCUGUUAUCAAUGGCUGAAGCACAGUUUUGUACCAGACUGUUUACCAAACGAACUGUCCAUCAAUUAGUGGACUAGACAGUAUCUCCAUUUGGCAACUACUAUUUUCUCCUUUCUCUUCUGUAUGAUACCUUUGUGUAAAGAGAACAUUUGCUCCAGGAGAAAGAUCUUUAUCAUUUCCUUCUUACAUUCUGGGACUGAAGACUGCAUCCCCCAACUCCCAGAAGCCUGUGGCAGACAUCAGGCUGUUCAGCAUGUAGAUAGUGACUUUCCACUCUUCCUGGUGAAAUGAUGAUGGCAUAGCAAACACAACAAGAUUCAGGACAAGCAAGAAAAAGUACAAGAAGUUGAUCUUGUAGGUCAGUGAUAUCGGUAAUUCCCAAGCACAGAGAAGACCUAUCUGCUAGACUCUGGUCCUGGCCCACUGGAGUGAGAAAUAAAAGCAAGAAACAAUCCUGACAUUCACCAGUUUCUUUGUUGAGUUGGAGAGCUGAGCCUGUUUAUUUUAGACGUGCAACUUCUUAUUUAGGAAUUUCAGCCUCCUGACAAAUGCUACUGCUUCCAUGCAAUCAUUACUUCAUUGUUUCAUGGCUACAGGUGCACAAACACUGCCAUGCAACAGCAGUAACUACUCAGCUCUGGCAUGAGGCAACAAGUACUCUGUCAGUCAGCUCCUGGACAUGAUCCAGAGGAUGGUACAUGGCAGGGUUGGACCCCAAUAGUCAGGAUUGACUAGGUCACCCAUUUUUUUUUAGGGGAAGAGAGGUUAGCCAUAGCUGCCACAUUUGCUCUCAGACUGGCAACUCGGCCCAACGCUACACCCCUUCGCACAGCUCUAGCCUAUGAGACCAAAAAGGGGAGUCCUAUCUUGAACAAACAAGAAGCCUCUGUUGUUUAGGUCUGCUAAAGGCAGCAGACUGAUAAAUACAGAACAGAUGCAAUAAAAAAGAGUGAAAGCUAUCUCAAAUUAUCCUCUAUACUGACAAUCAUAAAGAAAACUAUAUGGAAUUGAACUGUACAUCAACAUACUGAUAAGUAUUUCAGGACCAUGCCUCAGGACUCCUGUAGCUAAGGGUAAAAGGAGAUUUGUCACCCACACAUACAACUCACAUGUGUAACAAUUGUGACAGAAUGUAAUUAUUACAUUUACUUUGGAAAGAAAAGUCAAUUUACUCUGUUGUUAAAAAAAAAAAAAAAAAAGUAAAAUUAAUGAAGAUGUAAUCCUGGUAAUUGCAGAAAUUGGUGAGAAUUCUGAGUUCACUAGGCUACUAAAUUAGAUUAAUCUCCUCAAAAUAUAUUACACUGAAAUAUCUAAUUUCUAUGCAUUUAUGAACAUGUGUUCUAUGGUAUAAUUCUGUUUAAUCUUCAGAGGCCUCUCAGAGGCCUCUAAAUUUAAUCUUAGGCAAAAUGGCAAAGUUUUGCCUGAGUAAAGAAUGCCAAAUAAAGCCCUAAAAAGGGAUUGCUAGGAUCAGAAUUACUUGUUGUUUCCAGCUGCUUUGUUCUGUACUGGUAUUGUAAAGAUGCCUUGAAUUCAGCUUAAUUGGAGAGUUAAGCUAGGUUUACAGCUGUUUUUUUUCUUAUUUGAAGAAGUGCAAAGCAGCUGAACAUUCCAGUGAGUAUGGGCUUUCAUCUGAAUGACAUUUACAUUAGAAAAUCUCCAAAAAAACAGCAUCUAGUCCCAGCUUCCCAUAUUCUUGUAGAAGUCUAAAUGUUUUCUCUUUCUCCUAAUGGUUCUUUCUAGGACACUUUUCUCUUGCAUUUGUGUUACGACUCAUUGUGUGCAUUAGUUUUGUUAUAAUUGUAUCUGUGAUGAUGCAAGAGGUGUCAAUUUCUGCAUGAAAAAUACAUUUUUCUUAGCUUUGUGGUAGGUAAGUUAGGCUAUGUAAACUCAGGUAGAUAGCCUACUGUGCUUCAAUGUACAUUUCUGUUGUAACAAUAUGCUCACACACUAGUUUGAGUAGAUGAAGAAAACUCGAUAUGGUUUCUCUUCUUCUCAGACAAUAUAGUUAUUCUUAUGCUAAGGUUCCAAUGCAGUUUCUUUCAGCAGGGAGCAGCGUCUUGCCUCUGUGCAAGGCAGCAACUACAGCUGCUGUCUUUUAAUUUUAUUAACCUGAAGUGUUACACUCUCACUGUUUCUUUUUGUGUCAAGCACUGUUUGAAGAAAGUAUGCUUGCUCUGUAAGGGAAGAAAAAGCCUGUAUCAGCAGUGGAUUAUUUACAAAACUGUGGUCAGUUACAUUUAUUUAAGCAUUACUUACUGGUGUUACUUUAUAUUCAUGAAGUAUAUACAAUAUCUUUCACUCUGCAAAUUACCACUACAAUUAAUCAAAUUUGAAUCUGCAAAUGUUAUCAAAUGAUUCUAAGCUAACAGAAGAUUUUUUUGCUCAAUAGAUCAUUUAUGUUUGAAGUCUCUUUCUAUACACCUUAUAGCAGGAUAUGUAAAAAACCCCACGAACACUGCAUUCUCAAGACUGGAUGUUGCAGUCUGGAUGAGCUGAUCCAACUAGAGAUGGCUGAAGAUCCCUCUGGACUGCAUGCUCCUUGGAAAGCACAUCUGAAGAUGAGCAUAUCACUCCUAGAAUUUGAAAGACAUUUGAACAUGAAAUUGAAUGGGUCUGCCUCAGUAAAUAUAGGAGCAUAACAUACAUAAUCAAAAAAUCUAAAAAUGACACAACAAAAGUUACAGGAACGCAAUCAAAAUUUCAACCACGCCUGAAUUAUCCUACAUUCAAAAGAAAGAAUACACAGGUGUAAUAGGAUACUCAGCAUGUAUACCUCCAACCACUAAGAUCAAGCCUAUCAACUACAUUAUAGAAGAGUUUACUUUUGCUGAAUUGUUAUGUUCUGUUUUAGAGGUAUCUUUUCAUCACUGAAGAACACAUCAAAAGAUUUUAGUCUUUGACAUUCUUAUCCAGGAUACGUUUCACAGUCUUUCAUCAGCCACUGAAACUGGAUUAGCACCAGAAAAUGUUUAACACACACUCUAUGAGCAAAGAAGAGACCAAGGGGCCUUUGGCUUGCAAAGAAUCUAUAAAAUGUGAUUAUUAAUUUCAAGGUAUCACACAUUUAAAAUAGAGCUCUUCAGCAUUCUUUAUAACUAAAAUAAUGAAUUGAUGAAGAGCUGAUGAAGAGCCUGCCAGAAGAUAAUGUCAGAAUCCAGAAACAAAAUAGCUCACUUAACAACUGAGAUGGGCUCAUAAAAACCUCAGAACAGAAAUGAAACCCUGAUUUUCAAUUUAAUUUCUAAACACCACACUUGCUUCAAUUUACAAUGUAUUAGAGGAGUGGGUAAAAUUAAUCUUUAAAAUCCUCCAUCCCAUUACAGAAAUGGAAAAUAAAACGCUUACUGGUUUAUAGUUCAGUGGUGAUGGAUGCACGCUAGGCCUCUUCUUAGUAUGUACCGAGCUGUUUUCAAGAAAUGCAUAUAAUCUGGAAGCAAAGCUGACAAAACUAUGUUACUGAAAUUGCCUUGAUGCAAACACUGCAAAGGCUGUUUGUUUACUUGAAGAAGUCAGAGCUGGGUGGUGGAAUUUUAACUACUAAAUUUUCCAGUUCUCAUCAUCAGCAUUAGAUGGUGUAUUUAGUUCUAAAACACAGUUAAAUGUUCCUGGAAAUCUCGGACGAUCCUGUGCUGCAGCUGAAGCCACGAAACACAUCCAACUCACAAAAUGAGAUACUCCGUGCUUGAAAAUUACAAUUUUUAAAAAGUGAAAUCCUUAAAAUUCUUGAAAUAUUGUCUGUUGAAAUUCUUGGAAAUAUUUGUUUGAAAAGAAUGUAGCUGCAUGUAGAAAAUGGUUGCAAAACUGCUAUAAUUUUGAGCUAGCAACACAUGCCAAUGUAUCAAUAUUGCACACAAUUAUUUUUUAUGAGAAGGCCAUACGAACAUGAUAAAAUUAACAAUUUCAGUGUUUCAAGAAUUAAUUUAAAAUACAUUUUGCAAGGUUCUUUUAGCUAUUUAUACAUUUUUUUCAUCACAGCGUUACAUCAGAACAUUAAAGAUUCUAUCAGAAAGGUAAGAAAGGAAAACAGUUGUGCAAAAUCAGAACAUAAUGUGAGUUUACGGUUGCUCUGUGAUUCACUGUAACGCAUUAUUAAUCCAUAUGUUAGUACAAAUAAAAUAUUUUGAAAAUUGUGAUUUUA
ensembl:lncRNA